AUUGAACGCUGGCGGCAGGCUUAACACAUGCAAGUCGAGCGGAGAUGAGGUGCUUGCACCUUAUCUUAGCGGCGGACGGGUGAGUAAUGCUUAGGAAUCUGCCUAUUAGUGGGGGACAACAUUCCGAAAGGAAUGCUAAUACCGCAUACGUCCUACGGGAGAAAGCAGGGGAUCUUCGGACCUUGCGCUAAUAGAUGAGCCUAAGUCGGAUUAGCUAGUUGGUGGGGUAAAGGCCUACCAAGGCGACGAUCUGUAGCGGGUCUGAGAGGAUGAUCCGCCACACUGGGACUGAGACACGGCCCAGACUCCUACGGGAGGCAGCAGUGGGGAAUAUUGGACAAUGGGGGGAACCCUGAUCCAGCCAUGCCGCGUGUGUGAAGAAGGCCUUAUGGUUGUAAAGCACUUUAAGCGAGGAGGAGGCUACUGAGACUAAUACUCUUGGAUAGUGGACGUUACUCGCAGAAUAAGCACCGGCUAACUCUGUGCCAGCAGCCGCGGUAAUACAGAGGGUGCGAGCGUUAAUCGGAUUUACUGGGCGUAAAGCGUGCGUAGGCGGCUUUUUAAGUCGGAUGUGAAAUCCCCGAGCUUAACUUGGGAAUUGCAUUCGAUACUGGGAAGCUAGAGUAUGGGAGAGGAUGGGUAGAAUUCCAGGUGUAGCGGUGAAAUGCGUAGAGAUCUGGAG
rnacentral:rRNA from 1 species